UGAACGGGAGUGAGAGUCAUGUUUACCCAGGUUCAGACCCUCCCAUGGAGGUAAAAGCCUACGUCCUGCUUUGUGUAUAUUGAUGGUGGAAUCGAUUACAAGGGAGCUUAUUCUCCUGACCUAGCUUUCGAUUGAUUGUAACUUAACCCUAUAUGCCCUAGAGGCUCACCUUUAUAUACAGGUCGAGGCUCUAGUUUUAGAAGAGUCCGGGUCACAUCAUGAUUC
rnacentral:lncRNA from 1 species